rnacentral:rRNA from 1 species
GCUCAGGAUGAACGCUGGCGGCGUGCUUAACACAUGCAAGUCGAACGGUGAAGCCCAGCUUGCUGGGUGGAUCAGUGGCGAACGGGUGAGUAACACGUGAGCAACCUGCCCCUGACUCUGGGAUAAGCGCUGGAAACGGCGUCUAAUACUGGAUACGAGACGUGAUCGCAUGGUCGACGUCUGGAAAGAUUUUUUGGUUGGGGAUGGGCUCGCGGCCUAUCAGCUUGUUGGUGAGGUAAUGGCUCACCAAGGCGUCGACGGGUAGCCGGCCUGAGAGGGUGACCGGCCACACUGGGACUGAGACACGGCCCAGACUCCUACGGGAGGCAGCAGUGGGGAAUAUUGCACAAUGGGCGCAAGCCUGAUGCAGCAACGCCGCGUGAGGGAUGACGGCCUUCGGGUUGUAAACCUCUUUUAGCAAGGAAGAAGCGAAAG